rnacentral:rRNA from 1 species
GCAUAUCAAUAAGCGGAGGAAAAGAAACCAACAGGGAUUGCCUUAGUAACGGCGAGUGAAGCGGCAACAGCUCAAAUUUGAAAUCUGGCCCUCGGGUCCGAAUUGUAAUUUGUAGAGGAUGAUUUUGGUGCGGUAUCUUCCGAGUUCCUUGGAACAGGACGCCUUAGAGGGUGAGAGCCCCGUACGGUUGAAUGCCUAGCCUCUGUAAAUCUCCUUCGACGAGUCGAGUAGUUUGGGAAUGCUGCUCUAAAUGGGAGGUAAAUUUCUUCUAAAGCUAAAUAUUGGCCAGAGACCGAUAGCGCACAAGUAGAGUGAUCGAAAGAUGAAAAGCACUUUGAAAAGAGGGUUAAAUAGCACGUGAAAUUGUUGAAAGGGAAGGAUUUGUGACCAGACUUUUUCUGGGCGGAUCAUCCGGGGUUCUCUCCGGUGCACUUUGCCCAGUAAAGGCCAGCAUCGAUUUUCGGCGGCGGAUAAAAGCAGUGGGAAUGUGGCUCCCCACGGGGAGUGUUAUAGCCCAUUGUAUAAUACGCUGCUGGGGAUCGAGGUACGCGCUUCUGCAAGGAUGCUGGCGUAAUGGUUAUCAAUCACCCGUCUUGAAACACGGACCAAGGAGUCGAACAUUUAUGCGAGUGUUUGGGUGUUAAACCCUCACGCGUAAUGAAAGUGAACGGAGGUGAGAGCCCGUACGGGUGCAUCAUCGACCGAUCCUGAAGUUUUCGGAUGGAUUUGAGUAAGAGCAUAACUGUUCGGACCCGAAAGAUGGUGAACUAUGCGUGGAUAGGGUGAAGCCAGAGGAAACUCUGGUGGAGGCUCGCAGCGGUUCUGACGUGCAAAUCGAUCGUCAAAUCUGCGCAUGGGGGCGAAAGACUAAUCGAACCAUCUAGUAGCUGGU